GCCAGGGAGCAUGCCUCUUUGAGUAUCGUUUCUACACAAUCUCGACAGCUCUGCUUGUUGGAGAAUGAGAUGUCUCAUUCGAAAUGAAUGAGUCUCUUUAAGAAGCGUGAGUUUUUAAUAAUUCCUAAACUCCCUAGUAGUUCUUAAAUUACUGGUGACAUGGAUAAAAUUUUAUCUAUAUGUUGCUAAGGAAAUAAGAAUUGGAAACCUGGAUAAACUUAAAACUCGUUCAGAAAAUUAUCUAUAUAUUUUUUUGAAUUAGAUCUCAAAUGAAGUAAGAUUACCCGCUGAACUUAAGCAUAUUAUUAAGCGGAGGAAAAGAAACUAACAAGGAUGCCCUCAGUAACGGCGAGUGAAGCGGGCAAAGCUCAACCUGAAAAUCGGGUUUCCAAACGGGAUCUCGAAUUGUGGGCUACAGACGGCUGGUCAGUGUGUGACCCGGGUAUAAGUGUGCUUGGAAAACGCUAUCACAGAGGGUGAUAAUCCCGUUCGUGACCCGGAGUUCGCCGCGUACGACCGCUGUU
rnacentral:rRNA from 1 species